UGGGGAAUUUUGGACAAUGGGGGAAACCCUGAUCCAGCCAUCCCGCGUGUGCGAUGAAGGCCUUCGGGUUGUAAAGCACUUUUGGCAGGAAAGAAACGUCAUGGGUUAAUACCCCGUGAAACUGACGGUUCCUGCAGAAUAAGCACCGGCUAACUACGUGCCAGCAGCCGCGGUAAUACGUAUAGUGCAAGCGUUAAUCGGAAUUACUGGGCGUAAAGCGUGCGCAGGCGGUUCGGAAAGAAAGAUGUGAAAUCCCAGAGCUCAACUUUGGAACUGCAUUUUUAACUACCGGGCUAGAGUGUGGCAGAGGGAGGUGGAAUUCCGCGUGUAGCAGUGAAAUGCGUAGAUAUGCGGAGGAACACCAAUGGCGAAGGCAGCCUCCUGGGAUAUCACUGACGCUCAUGCACGAAAGCGUGGGGAGCAAACAGG
rnacentral:rRNA from 1 species